rnacentral:rRNA from 1 species
UACGUAGGUGGCAAGCGUUGUCCGGAUUUACUGGGUGUAAAGGGAGCGUAGACGGUGAUGCAAGUCAGAAGUGAAAGCCCGUGGCUCAACCGAGGAAUUGCAUCGGAAACUGUGUUUCUUGAGUGCAGAAGAGGAGAGUGGAACUCCAUGUGUAGCGGUGGAAUGCGUAGAUAUAUGGAAGAACACCAGUGGCGAAGGCGGCUCUCUGGUCUGUAACUGACGCUGAGGCAUGAGAGCAUGGGGAGCAAACAGG